UAAUAGAACGUGUGUAUUAUCCCUUAUAAUUAUCUUUAUAUAUAAAGUAAGGUUUACUCUCUCCUUAGGCCAUCCACGUCUCUUGCCCCUACGUUUGACACGUGUCCCAUCAGAGUGAAACGCAUCGUAUCAUUUAUUCAGAGAUAUUCUGGAUUUUAAUCGUUGCCCAAUGCGGCCCAAAUAAACAGAGUUUGUCCCUAACCCUAAUUCUAAUGACGCAAGUUCGUCUCUUCUCCUCUUCUUCAAUGUGCCGACACGGUAAACCGACCAUGGAGUUUGUUGGAAGUGAUGGGAGACGAGUUUUUACGGCUGAUCUAUGUGGCGUUAAUCUGUUCAUAUCCUUUAGAAUGGAUUUGACUUCAACUCGUCGCUGUAGCACCACCGCCGUCUGCUCAGAUUUUGGGAGGCCAAGAAUGUGAAUAGAAGCGGCGAGCUUAUGGAGGUCGAAACGCUUCUUCUUGACGCUCAGCUUAAAAGAGAAGCAUCGAAUAUUAUCAUAAGAGUGGUAGUUCGUAAAAUUUUGCUGUCACGAAAGAUGAAGAACAUAGAGUUCUGACAUGUAAGACGCCACACAGAAACUAUUACUUUGUUUAGAUCCCUGAGGAAGCUAGAGAGCUUGAAAAGCAACUCAGAGAGACCACUAAGGAGAAGAAUGAAGCUGUAUGAGAGUUCGACUUUGGGAAGGUGUAUCAGAUAUUGUGGUUGAAACAUUUGAUAUUGUGCAGGCACAUUCACAAGCCGUGGAUUCAGCAAGGUCCAAAUGGCUGUACAAGAUAUACGCGAGAGCGCAUCCACCAGAACAACCACCCUACACAGCAUGAGAUGUCAACGAUGCAAGAUUCAACUUCUUCCAUUAAAGCCGAGAGAACUUCACAUGGUGAAAACAGAAUCGAACUAUCACCAGGACACUUCAGCGGUUGAGAGUGGGAAGAAGACGAUGCAAGAAGUCCUCUUGAAUUGCUUGGAGAAGGCAGAGAGUGCCCAUCAAUGGAGGAAAGCUCAAGAAUCACUGGUCAGUCUAGAACGGAACAAUGUAGCUUCUGUUGACUCAAUCGUUAGGAAUGGACGCCAAUGAGAACCUACGCUCUCAGUUCUAUCAUCAUCUCUUGAUGUUUUUAAUCUGCUAACGCCAGCCUUCUUACUUCCAUUGACAAUCCGUUGAAACUCAAUAAUGAUGCAUGCGCUAAGAUCAACUCCAUGAUCAUCCCGUGCUACGAAGACUUGAUUGAGCUCAAGAGUGAUCACAAUCACAAGAUCGUAGAGAUCACAGACAACACAGGGAAAUGUCUUCUUGAUGAAUAUAUAGUAGAUGAACCUUCGUGUUCAACGGCUGAGGAAAAGAGCAAUCGAGAUACUGAGUAUUGAGUCCAUUGAGGAAUUUCGAGCUCCAGCAUCUGAGGAGUUACUGAGAGCGUUUCAAGAUGGGAAACUGUUUAAACAGGCAAAUGGUGAUGCAAAGCAGCAGCAACAACACCUUAUACGUGCUUCCUCUCUUUAUGAAGCAGCUGUGUCGGACUCGAGAUCUCCCCUCUCUGCUGUAAACUGACACGCCAAGAGGAUUGGUUUUACAGAAGCACAAGAGAAGAAGGUUAUUAUUGUUGCACUACAGGUAAAAAAGUAUCUUAUUUUCUUCAUGGAGGUUUGGUUUGAGGAAUUUAUAAAAGCAUACAUUUUUCAUUAUAUUUUUAUUUGUUUAUUAGCUGGAACCAAAGCAAAAUUAUUUCUGAAUCAGUAAGAUUAUGAGUCGUGUCAAUUAUAAUUACAAGCAAGUCCGUUAGGUUUUAUUUUUGUCAUCAGACUCCUCAGUCCUCAAGACAAUAAUUGAACAGAAAAAAAUAAGUGCUCAAGAGAGAAUCAAUGGCUAUAUCGGUAUUCUGAAUUACUCUGAGUGGAACUUUAUACUGAUGACUUUGGGGUCAUGCAAUUUCUUUCAACCGAUUGCCAGCUAUCUUUCUUUUUACAUUCACAAGUAUACCUCGCCUAUUAAAUAUUAAUAUAUUUAAAAAGACAAAUUUUGUUCACAGACACAUAUGGUUCAAGAAACUGAUAGUAUUAAGUAAACUGAACAUUUGGGUGUUGGUAACUUAUAUUAGUUUAUUAAAAUAUGGUCGUUACAAUGCCAUUAAAAAAUAUCUAUUUUGAUAUAUCUUUUAUAAGAAACUAAUAUCGUUAAAAUAUACAGUUAUUUUCAUAAAGACAACAAAAAUAUUACUCUCAUAAAAAUAUAAACAUGGUAACUCUAUCAUAGAUAACAAACCCAUUUCAAUUAAAAAAAAAACAGUAUACCAAAACGUCCAAACAUUUCAAGAAGGUGACAAUAUUUACCUCAGCUAUCUAAGUACACUAAUACAUCAAAAUAUAACACAAAAAAUACGUUCCUUCUAUUCAAAUCACCAUGAAAACUGAACUACUUUACAAGUUAUCCUUUGGCUUAGAAACCGAACAUUCAGCUUCACCUUCACAAAGGGAUCUAACCAUCAAUAUAAACAGAUUUAAUACAAAUCAAAGAGAUAUAUCCAUUAAUAUCAACUGCUCUACAACUGCUUUUGGUUAUAUAACCCAACAAAAGACUUUAUUUAAUCUUUUUCCGAUGACAAAAGAAACAUAGUAAUUGAUGAUGAUGAUGGUAUGGAGAGAAGAUAGCUCUAUCUACCAAAUGACUUCUAACGGAUUUUUAGAGCCUUUAUUGCUAAUUCCUCUUAACAGUCCGGUUGAGAAGGAGUCACUGCAUUGGGAAGGUUAUGGACUGAUCUUUUGAAGCAACUGACUUUUCCAUGAUGUCAAAACAUGUUCUCAUAAAUCACACGGCCUCCACAUAGUUCUUGCACUUGAAUAAGAUGUUGCAAGAUGUAUAAGAUGUGUAGCUAUGCUUGAUAGUUUUUGAGAUGUUGGUAAAAAAUGAACAAAAACACUACUAUCAUAUUCAUAAUUAACCAUAUACUUAAAACCUAAUAACAACAAAACAAAUUACAAAUAUCCAUAACACAAAUAUAGACAUCCCGCCCGUAGGGCGGGCCGGCCCUAGUACUAUUAUAAACACAUGAAAAAUAAGCAAUAAGUUUUAUUCAAAGCUUAAUUACUGGGAGAUCUUUCUGUACAAGAUAUGUUGGGUCAUAUACGUAUAUAGAAUGUCAAUCCUACCAUUAGAAAACUACUUUUCCCUACCGAUCCGUAUUUACGGGCUUUAAUAUCUAGAUUUCUAGAAUAUCCCACACACGUACAUAUCUAGUAUGAGUAAUUCUUGUGUCCACCCCUUAGAGUGAACCUAUAGGUUCACCUAGCCAAUAAUAACUUGCCACAUCAUAUUUAGUUUUUGGAAGAAAAGAAAGGUAAAAAACAUAAAUGGAAUUAUCUACAAAAUUAAAAAGAGAAAUAUAAUUUAAAAAAAAAAGGAAAACAGAAAAAGACGUGAAGUUGUUUAAAGCCGUGGAAUACAAUGUUUCUUCUUCGUUGGUUGAAGAAAAAAUAGAACACAGAGAAGAGAUGAAGCUGUGUUUGUGAUUUUCUGAGUCUUUAAUUCCUUGCUUUCAAAUCCAAUCUCGAAUUCACCUCCGAUCAAUAAAGUUUGAGAAAGAAUGGAGAAUAAUCAAUUAAGUGGUCAGGAAACUAUUCUUGGUGGUCAGUAUGGAUCUACUUUACAAGUUGUCUCAGGUGAUUCCACUUUGAUAUAUCAAAAGUUGGUUGAAGAGUUCAAGAAUAUAAUAGUGUGCGAAGCAACGGUCAUAUCAGAGAAGGAGACAGGAACCAGGAGUAAAUCAGUGAAGAACAUGAAGCUGAGGAAAGCUAACCAGGACAUAGGUGCAGUCAAAACGCCAUAUCUUACAAACCAGGAGAAAUUUAUCAAUGAAACCGGUUUUCCUGGAUUCUACACUCAACAAGAGCACACGGCGAAUUGGUUCCAUACGAAAAGUAGUAAUGGUUUGGGAGAUAUGCCAUUUACAAGUCAGACUAUCUACACUGCAUCCGAACUGGUUCUAUUUAAGAAAAGUACUAAUGGUUUUAUAGUUGAUUAGAUCAAUUAGAAGAACCACCCCUCUUGUUGGAUCGUCCAUCACUUUGAUCCAAGGAUCUUGUGAGCCUUUUACAGCUUAGGCUUACAUCAAGUCCUCACUUUGGAUUUUCUUGGUGGCUGUAAUUUGGCAGUGUUGGAAAGUCCACGCUCUUGAUGAUGUUAACUGGAACACUCUGAAGCAGCCUCAUAUGAAUUCACAACGCUUACAGCUAUUGCUCCCUCUCAGUUGUGCUUCUUCUUUUCUGUUUGGUGUCUUCUUUGAUCACCAACUUCUGAUGUUUGGUUCCCUUGACCUGAAUCUUAGCUUAUCUGUUUUUUUUUUUUGUCA